AUUGAACGCUGGCGGCAUGCUUUACACAUGCAAGUCGGACGGCAGCGGGGUAGUGCUUGCACUACUGCCGGCGAGUGGCGAACGGGUGAGUAAUAUAUUGGAACGUACCGAGUAAUGGGGGAUAACCAAUCGAAAGAUUGGCUAAUACCGCAUACGCUCUGAGGAGGAAAGCAGGGGACCUUCGGGCCUUGCGUUAUUCGAGCGGCCAAUAUCUGAUUAGCUAGUUGGUGGGGUAAGGGCCUACCAAGGCGACGAUCAGUAGCGGGUCUGAGAGGAUGAGCCGCCACACUGGGACUGAGACACGGCCCAGACUCCUACGGGAGGCAGCAGUGGGGAAUUUUGGACAAUGGGCGCAAGCCUGAUCCAGCCAUGCCGCGUGUCUGAAGAAGGCCUUCGGGUUGUAAAGGACUUUUGUUAGGGAAGAAAAAGGAGCGGUUAAUACCCGUUUCUGCUGACGGUACCUAAAGAAUAAGCACCGGCUAACUACGU
rnacentral:rRNA from 1 species